rnacentral:rRNA from 1 species
CGGCGUAGGCGGACGAAGGCAAGUCAGAUGUGAAAUCCCCGGGCUCAACCUGGGAAUUGCAUCUGAAACUGCAGUGCUUGAGUCCUGGAGGGGAUAGUGGAAUUCCCAGUGUAGCGGUGAAAUGCGUAGAUAUUGGGAGGAACACCUGCGGCGAAGGCGGCUAUCUGGACAGUGACUGACGCUGAUGCGCGAAAGCCAGGGGAGCGAACG